ACUUUUUGUUACAACAAGGUUAACAACAAACAUUACUCCAACAUAAGCACACUUAAAAUCGAACAAGUCUAAAUAAACAACACAAACAACAAAUAUCGAAACAGAUGAAAAUACUUAACCACAAUAUUUAAAAACAACAUUUCUAUCUGAUUACAACAAUCAAAUUGAUGUCAUCUGGUCCAAACAUCAUUUUCUUAGCAUCCUUAUCAGUUUUUACUCGC
rnacentral:lncRNA from 1 species